UGAGUUUGAGAGGAUUGUUCGCAUAUCAACUUGGUAAAUCACAAGAGGUUACUCUUAGUGAUUGUGUAUGUCUUGUACAAGUCAUAAUAGAUAGUAAAAUCUCUUUCGCAUUGAAAGGGGACUGGAGUACUGUCGUAUCCCAAAAUUUGCCCUCAUUUUCGCUUUUUCAUCUGACUAUAACUUGAUAUCCAUCUAACCUCAUUCAUACUCAUUCACGUGCAUUAAUUCAUUAAUGACCAGCAUUUUCUAGCAGGUAUCAUGGAUUCAGAGUUUGUGGUUGAUAAAAUCAGAGUUGGAUUGAAGUUUAUGGCAUUGCACAACCUCUUGAUUCCAAGCAGAAUUUCCAGCUUCAAUCACCUACAAUCAAUUUCAAGUAGGAGAAGAUAACAGUGUAAAAGUAAUUGCAAAAAAAACUCUCAAAACAGAACCUAACAGAAUUUAAGGCCCACCUCAACUUUCAACCGAACCGCAACUACAACAACCAAUCCUCAAUAACCAAACUUCGAACCUUUUAACUAACUUUCAUAACCACUUGUAAUCAACUGUCAUGACAGAAGGAGAACUAACUUCAAAUCUACAUCACAAUACCGCCAACUUGCAUAAAAACCAGAACUGAAUAAGCCAACCAAAAACAACUCCCAUUCCCUAACCUACCAAUUCGUAAAUGAAAACCAUUUUCAAAACUCCAAAAAAAACAAGCAACCAAACAUACCAUUGUCAAUCCAACUAACCCCUAAUAGUUCCAGCAUAUCCCUAAUAUAGUCAACAAUUCAAAUAAUGACAAAGUUGAUUUAAAACCAUUUCGCAACAUGAUGAUCAACGAACAAGAAAAGUCGUUCACAACAUGGCAAGCAUUUUAGUCAAUUCUAUAAUCGCAAUUUAACAUGCUUCACUAACCGUGUAAAUAAGACAAUUCAACAACCGUUUCAUCAAGACAACUUUUAACAUAUUAAAUUUGAAGCCAAUGAUGCACGCUGUAAAUAACAUUCAACUGGUUUUUAGCAGAGAUUUUCUAAUUGAAUUAAAACUAACAAUAACAACUAACUAUAACUAAUCCUAUUAAUAGUUCAACCGAGUUUCUAACUAACUAACCUAACUAUUUUAGCAUAAGAGUAACUGUUCCUUUAACCUCCUAACUAACUCGAAUUAACCCUCUAACAAAUUCAUAACAAUCUAACAGAAUUUUCUAACAACUCCUAACAGAAAUUCAUGCCAACUCAUAACAGCAUAUAACAGAAUUACUGAUCCAGAAUGGGAGGGGAAAGAGGUUCAGAAAUCUAUAAAGGUAUACCUUCACUCCCUCUCCUUGGGGACAUUCCAUAUUCUCGCCACCUUCACUCUCUCAUAUUUUCUUCCAUCUUUUCUUCACCCUCAACCAAGCUCCAAUUCCAUUCUCCAUCACCUUCAAUCGAGUUCUCAACCUCCAACAGAACGCGAACCGAGCUCUCACCACCCUCAACCUUUCGCUAUCGUCCUCAACUCUCCAAUGCUCCUAA
rnacentral:lncRNA from 1 species